rnacentral:lncRNA from 1 species
AAAAAAUUUAGAUGAAGAUCUAUGGUGGAUGAAAUUGAAAAUGUUUUCAAUUACUAAGUUUUUCUUAAAACACCAAAAUCCUCCCCUCCAGCUUUAAGAUGUUUUACUCCCAGCCUAGUACCCAAAAAAAGGGGAAAGGAAAACAAGAAUCUUUGUGCCUGCCCUUUGCAUGACCCAGGACUCCGGUGCCAAUGAAAAGAACACAAUCCUGAGGCCAAACUCAGCCUCUACCCUGGACAUCACAGAAUCCUGAAUAGACUUCGGAAGAGCUGUGACCUAGGAUGGAGGCUGUCAAUCAAGGGGCACUGCCUCCCCUCAGAAGGCUGGGAAGGAUGGGAGACGCCAACCCCGUGCUUGUCAGUCUCUCCUGAAGGUCUAACGCCGGCCACCCUGCAGUGCAGAUCACAGGUCUGCCAGUGAAAUAAUGGAAACUUUCCGGGAGCAAGAAGCUAAAAGAUUUUUGUCAAGACAAAUGCUCGGCAUAAGGAAAAUGAAGGUAAAUUAACUAACACCAGAGACCACAGCUGCUAGGUCAAUGUAGGAUGAGCUGUAAGAAACAAGUGACAUCGUGAAGCCCUGGUACUGGACAAGAAGUUAAUGUUUAUAUUGAGAACAGAAGGAAUUCCACACAUGCAGCUGAGAGCUGGAGAAAGUAGAGAGCAGAAACCAGACACCCUCCUGCGUGCCUGUCACUCUUGAGCACUGAGGGCCUCUGAAGGUCCCGAGGCCUGGGCCACGCGGGUAUGUGGUGGUGACCCC